GCUCGCGGAAACUCGGUUGCUAUGCGACGGGGGCGGUUGACCAAAGUAGGCCCCGCGGUUUAGAGGAGCAGCCAAAUUUAUUACGGAGCUGGGCGUGGCCUCGGUUGCUUCGCAGCGGGGACGCUUAGGCAGGGCUUGAGCCCAGUUUCUAGACCAAUGCUCCCGGAAUUUUGCAUGGCACCCAAGAAAGAGAAAAGCGGGGUUGCGAGCAGCAGUUCUGAGAUAUGGGAACCUUCGCUCAUAGCUGCACACUUGAAUCAGACGCCAAGUCUUGAACACCAAAAAAUGACUUAAAAAAAAAAGCAAAACUGAAAAUAUAUAAUGGAAGAUAAUUCCAAGAGGCCUGGAUUAUUCCAUAGUUGUUUGGAGUGAUUGAACACAAUAGGAAAGCGUUAUGUAGUGAAAGUGUUGUGUGUCACACAUCAAGUGUCAGAUGGCACUUUGACACCAACCACAAAAGUGUUGCCAAACUUGGUGAAACUGAAAGGAGUUUCUUGAAGAGAAACUGAGGAAUCAUCAUUCCCAGUAUCUUAGUUUUUGGAACUAUCUUUCUAAAAGAAAUCAUCUGACAGCUUCCACCUUUCAAAUUUUACUGUGCAUAGCGAAACAUGGUAAACCCUUGUGUGAAAGGGAUUUUAUCAAAAUGACCAUGUUAUCUGGGAGUAAGUCCAUGUUUCAUGACUUCCCAAACAAGGAUAAAAUUAUGCAAUCCAUCUUUGAGAUGCCACUUACAGAAAUACUGUUGAAGACUAAGUCCUGUGCAUGGCAAGUGAUGUUAGUCAGCAGCUCACUUCUGACUUACAAAAGGAAGCCUAUUACUCCAUGUGGUUGGAUGAAAGCACAGAUAAAAAUAAUCAUGCAAGACAAGAAGUAAUUUUGUGUUAUGCUGCUGGUGACAUCAUGAGAGAAGAGCUGGUGGAACUGGUGUCCUUGCCUGGAAGAACACGGGAUAGAUAUCUACAGUACUGUGAUGGAGGCUUUUUUUUGUCAAAAUACAUAAGACUAAAAAAAGUGGUUUCAAUUACUAGUGAUGGAGCACCCUGCAUGGUGGGAGCAGCAUCUGGUUUUAUACAGUUAUUUGUUAAAGAAGCAAAAUAGGCAAUCAUUGUAUUAUACGUUAAGAAGCUUUUCGUGUCAAGGAAUGCAGCAAAAAAUUAAAUGAUAUCCUUAAAGAUGUCACAAAAAUGAUUAAUCAUAUCAUGUCUCAUGCUCUUAAUAUUUGACAAUUUUCAAGCAUUUCUUGAUGAGGUUCAGGCAGAAUAUAAUGCUUUACUUAUGCAAAAUAAUGCCCAGAGCCUGAGCAGAGAAUGAAUACUGGAGAGAUUUGUACCCUGCUUGGAUGAAAUUUGGCUGUUUAUGAAUGUAAAACGGAAGGAAUAUACACAGCUCACUGAUAUGGCCUGGCUUAACAACUUCAUGUUUUUUACAGAUUUUACGCUAUACUUCAGUGUACUGAAAAAAAAAAACAACUACCAGGUGUAGGGAAAACAGCAGAAAGGAUAUUUUGUGAUAGUACAUUUGAAAGAGAACUGCAGGUAUUUUUUAAAGAGAUUUUGAAUGUGGGCAGCUGAAAUACUUUUCAAAUCUAAAAAUGCAUUUAGAAAAUUCUACUUGCGCAUACAAUCUUACAAACUAUCAGGAAAUCUACAAGGAAAUUUCUAGCAUUGUAGCAACUACAAAGGAGAAUUUUACUAACAUAUUUUUACAGUUCCAUGAGAUGUAGACAAUCCUGUUUUCUUCUCAAUAUAAAGCCAAAUUUGAAGAACUUGAUCUUACCUGCUUGUACCGGUUAAAUUUUGGAAAUCUAGAAUUGGAACUUUGGGAAUUUUGAGAAAACUCUAUGCAAAAAUCAAUUCUGUGAGCUGUGUGCAACAUUUGAAAAGAUAAAGAAGAUAAAGUUUGAAGGGAUGACAAAGAACAGCACAGUUGGUAGUUCUGAAAAUGAAAUCCUGAAAAUAUGGAAUUCUCUUUCAAAUAAUUUUAAGUCAAUGAAAGCACAUAGGAUUGCACUUCUUACUUUGGAUCAUCUUAUCCUUGUGACUAGCUGUUUUCAGCUUUGAAUUAUACAAAAGCUGAUACAGGAAACAGACUAACCAUGACCUGAGUGCUAUAUGUGUUACUCUCAAACUAAGGAAAUAUGAACCAAGGUUUGACACUUUAUCAGCAUGCAUACAACAGCAAAGAUCAGGUCGAUGGUGCAAAAGCAUGUCAAAUGCAAACAUUUACCUUUCAAUAAAAAGCUGUUUGUAUCACUGAAAGCUGUCAUUGUGUUUUUCUUUUAAG
rnacentral:lncRNA from 1 species